AUGAUGGGAAUUUAAACCUCUUCCAGAGUAUCAAUUGGAGGGCAAGUCUGGUGCCAGCAGCCGCGGUAAUUCCAGCUCCAAUAGCGUAUAUUAAAAUUGUUGCAGUUAAAAAGCUCGUAGUUGAAUUUCUGCUGCAUUGCUUGUGUCCCUCUGGGGUCUGUGCAUGUGGCUUUUUUCGGACGGAGUUUCUUUGUCUGAAUGUUUACUUUGAGAAAAUUAGAGUGCUCAAAGCAGGCUUUCGCCUUGAAUAGUUUAGCAUGGAAUAAUAAAGUAGGACUUUGGUUCUAUUUUGUUGGUUUUAGGUACCAAAGUAAUGGUUAAUAGGAACAGUUGGGGGCAUUCGUAUUUAACUGUCAGAGGUGAAAAUUC
rnacentral:rRNA from 1 species